rnacentral:lncRNA from 1 species
CAGGGACGGAGGUCAGGCUGCAGCAAGGCCUGCCCCCGCCGCAGGGUGGUGUUGGGUGUGGGGUCCGCUGGCGGGGUGGCCGGCUCAGCGUCUGGACCCCCGCCCCAGGUUCCCCUGUCUGGGUCCUGUUGUCAGCCACUUCUGGAAGCUCCAGGACUACUGUCUGGGCUGCGGGCAGCCCCACGACCAGGAGGACACGGAGAGCUUUGUGUCCUGCAGUACCCCGGGCUGCCGAGGUCUCUUCUGCUCCACCUGUUUCCGUCUCCUGGACAAUACCUGCUCUGUGUGCGCGGCUCCCCUCUCCCAGCAGGGGGGCCUGGACCUGGAGCUGGACUCCAGUGACGAGGAGGGCCCCCGGCUCUGGCUGGCUGCUGCUCGGACGAAGGGCCCUGAGCAGGAGUGGUUACUGCGGCAGCGGCUGCAGGAGGCCCUGGGCAGGACCCUCACUUCGGAGUCCAGCCCCGAGGUCAGUGACCUGGACGAGGAGAAGGGGCCUCGGCAGAGGACACACAGGUAGCAGCCCCCACCUGAGGCCCAGUCUCUCAGGAUUCCCAGCCUGCCUUGGCCCUCACUGACAUCCUCAGAAAUCCUCUGCCCUCAAAGCAGUCCCCCUCCAGCUUCAGAAGCCCAGCCCCUCAGUCUGUCCUCUCCUGAUCUCUCCCACCUACCCCCAAAAUAAAGGAACCAAAGGCAG